rnacentral:misc_RNA from 1 species
AAGACUAUAGACCUGCGGAGUACCUGCGGAAGGAUCAUUAGUGAACGCCCUCACGGGCUUAUAACUAUUCCAAACCUCUGUGAACCGUGCCCUUCGGGGCUAUCUUACAAACAUGGUGUAAUGAACGUCAUAUAUCAUAACAAAACAAAACUUUUAACAACGGAUCUCU